rnacentral:rRNA from 1 species
AUGCUCGUCGAGUGCGUGCUGGAGAUUCUCCAGUCGAGUGCGCUCAGCCAAGUUGGCCAGGCGCACCUCCUCCAAGGCCCGGGCCUCGGGGGUUUCUCCAACGAUAGGAGUGUGAAGUGCAUCCAUGUUACGGCGGCGAAGCUCUUCCCUCUGCUGCGAAGAGAGGGGCUUGGGGCGGUACUCCUCAUGGACAUGCGACGGAUCGCCUCUGCCAUCACCACCGUCGUCGCGGGGGAAGCCAGGAGGACUGCGCGGUUCGUUGACCAUCAGGACUUCCGCCGCGGGGUCACUCCUGUCGCACUCGGAUGCGGUCUCAACGGAGCUAGUCGACAGGUCGAACAAGCCGUAGAGAAUUUCGUCGGGCUCGAUUGCCGCGACUUGGGGGUGGCCGACUGGCGAGCCACUGUGUGCCUCACCCACCGCUGGAGCCUCGACCGAUCGGAACGCUUGUGCCGGCGGGCAGCAGGGAGUGAAGACGCCACCGGAGCCGACCGAUACUGGGUCGACGGCUGCCGCAGGAGGACGCCGCGGACGGGGAGCGCCUCGACGUCGAGUGGAGCUUCUUGGAGCCAAGCGGAGUCAUCGGCGACGAACACGAGCGCGCCAAGACGGAUCUCGCGGCCCUCGGCCAAUCCUCCGCCUAAAACCAUGCUGAUGGGGAUCGGAAAAAUUGCAACUUCUCCAACAAGUCGCUAA